rnacentral:rRNA from 1 species
AUUGAACGCUGGCGGCAUGCCUUACACAUGCAAGUCGAACGGCAGCGGGCCUUCGGGUGCCGGCGAGUGGCGAACGGGUGAGUAAUGCAUCGGAACGUGCCAUUGAGUGUGGGAUAACGUAGCGAAAGUUACGCUAAUACCGCAUAUUCUGUGAGCAGGAAAGCAGGGGACCGCAAGGCCUUGCGCUCUUUGAGCGGCCGAUGUCAGAUUAGCUAGUUGGUGAGGUAAAGGCUUACCAAGGCGACGAUCUGUAGCGGGUCUGAGAGGAUGAUCCGCCACACUGGAACUGAGACACGGUCCAGACUCCUACGGGAGGCAGCAGUGGGGAAUUUUGGACAAUGGGCGCAAGCCUGAUCCAGCCAUGCCGCGUGAGUGAAGAAGGCCUCGG